GUUCAGUCUGCCAGAGCUAAGGCCAGUCAAUGGAAAGUAAGAGAGUAUUAUGGAUUUAACCGUCCAGGUGAUAUACAUGAUGAUUUUGGAAAUUGAUCAUUUAGGUCACCUAUUGCAAACUGGUGAAAAGAUGUCAAAGAUAUAAAUUCAACAUCCAUACCACUCUAUGUAUAUAUAUAUAUUAAAAUAAACAUAAUCAAAUAUUUU
rnacentral:lncRNA from 1 species